CGGAGCGUAGCGCAGCUUGGCUAGCGCGCAGCGUUCGGGACGCUGAGGUCGGGGGUUCAAGUCCCCCCGCUCCGACCA
rnacentral:tRNA from 1 species